rnacentral:rRNA from 1 species
CCUACGGGAGUCAGCAGUGGGGAAUAUUGCACAAUGGGGGAAACCCUGAUGCAGCGACGCCGCGUGAGGGAAGAAGUAUUCCGGUAUGUAAAGCUCUAUCAGCAGGGAAGCAAAUGACGGUACCUGACUAAGAAGCCCCGGAUAACUACGUGUCAGCAGGCGCGGUAAUACGGAGGGGGCAUGCGUUAUCCGGAUGUACUGGGUGUAAAGGGAGCGUAGACGGCAGAGCAAGUCUGAAGUGAAAGCCCGGGGCCCAACGGCGGGACUGCUUUGGAAACUGCCCGGCUAGAGUGCUGGAGAGGUAAGCGGAAUUCCUAGUGUAGCGGUGAAAUGCGUAGAUAUUAGGAGGAACACCAGUGGCGAAGGCGGCUUACUGGACAGGAACUGACGUUGAGGCUCGAAAGCGUGGGGAGCAAACAGGAUUAGAUACCCCUGUAGUC